rnacentral:rRNA from 1 species
CAGCCGCCGCGGGAAUACGAAGGGGGCUAGCGUUGUUCGGAUUUACUGGGCGUAAAGGGCGCGUAGGCGGACUGAUAAGUCAGGGGUGAAAACCCAAGGCUCAACCUUGGAACUGCCUUUGAUACUGUUUGUCUUGAGUUCGAGAGAGGUAAGUGGAACUGCGAGUGUAGAGGUGAAAUUCGUAGAUAUUCGCAAGAACACCAGUGGCGAAGGCGGCUUACUGGCUCGAAACUGACGCUGAGGCGCGAAAGCGUGGGGAGCAAACAGGAUUAGAUACCCCCGUAGUCCCUGUCUCUUAUAC